ACACAAGCAGCUGCAUGGAUGGUGCUUUUGGUUACACGAGUGGUGCUUUUGUUGACAGAAAUAUUUCACACCAACCCUGCUGAUUAUUUAAACGAUGUAAAGAAGGAAAGUAAUGGGCUAAUUUCUGCUCUUAAAGGCAGCUACAUUCCACUGGAGAUCCAAGGGAUAGUCAAUGAUAUCAAGCAUCUUAUAUCUGAUCUUGAUUGGGUGAGCUUCAGCUUUGUUAGAAGACCUUGCAAUCAGGCGGUUCAUGCGUUGGCCUCUGUCACCUUACAUGAUUCUUCUUUUAUUUAUAAUCCCUUGUCUCAAAUACACUUUGUAACUUCUCUCAUGCCUAGUUGAGGCUUCAAUGAAAUUAUCUUUGGAAAAAAAAAAAAAAAAUUCUAAUGGGCUCGUGUGCCUCAUUUCUAACGUUCUCUAUUUGAUUCCCAUGCCAGCUGUUGCUACUGCUUGUUAUUCCAGAUAAGAGAUAAGCUGGAGACUGUUGUAACUUCUCCUGCAAAUAUGAUAGGAAAUAUAGGCAUUCUUUGUAUAGAUUUCUCUAGAGUUUUUCUAGAUUCUUGUAUUUUGGAAUUCUCUUUUACCUGUAUAUAAACACACUGAUACUGAAUAACAAAUGAGGAAAUUCAUUUCCAAAAUUAUUACCCAUUUCUUUAUACUUUCCUCAGUCGAAUUUUUUCCAUGAAAAUCUUGAAUCUUUGCCUGGUUUUACUUCUUGCUAGGAAGGGAAGUGUUGAAUCGGAGUUGUUAUUAGCAAAUUGGGGAUCGGAAAUUUGCCCGUAUAUGGUUUGAUAGAUGGAUUCCUCAACCUGAACCUUUUCAGGCCAUCACUCCUCGUCUUCUGCCGCAUGAUGCAUUAGUUUCGUGUUUGAUUGAUGAGGAUAGGAGAGUGUGGAAUCGGGAGUUUUUGUCUAUUGUGUUUCUGCCAGUUGAUGUGGAUAGAAUAUGUUCCAUUCCUCUGAGUGUUAUUGGGCGUGAGGGUGUUUUGGUAUGGCAUUUCCAUUCAAGUGGUGAUUAUGUGGUGAAAAAUGGAUAUAGGGUUGUGUAUAACCUUCUUUAUUCAUCGGAGAUGGCUAGUUCUUCUUCCUUGGAUGUCUCUCAGGUAUGGAAAUUUUUUGGGAAAGUUCAAAGCGCCACCAAAAUGAUUAAUUUUUUAUGGCGAGCUGCUCUUAAUAUUCUCCCUACUAGAUAAGUGAUACAUUGCGGAAUAGAUUCUGUCACCUAUGUGUUGCUUUUGCGAUGCUUCGAAAUCAUUCGCGCACUUGCUCAGGGACUGCUCAGCUGUUAGCGCUGUUAAAGGCAACCAGAGGCGCCGGGCGAGGCAAGGCGAGCUCCUAGUGCCUCUGCCUGACUGAGGCGAGUCCACUUCAAGCAGGCGAGCGCCUGAGAUUGGUAAGGCGAGAAGCAUUUGGGUGACAAGAAGGCGCCUGCUCAGAAUAAUGUACACUUUCACUCUCUUUUUUAAUUUUUUUUUAAACAGCAUAAAACUAAAAAUAAACCCCAAGCUAAGUCUUCAAUUUACACCAUCAAAGCAGAGAAAAGAAUGGUACCAGCUGGAAAAACAAAGCAGACCAAGUAUUUUCUUCCUUCCCUUCUCUCUCUCUCUCUCUCUCUUUCAUCUUCACCUUCUUUCUCUCUAACCUCUAAUCUUCUCCUAUAUUUCUUCUCCUCUCACCUGCGCAACCUACCAGCAGGUCCAGUGCAUCCAGGGCUUUUGUUUUUCGUUUUUAAUUUUCUUCUUCUCUCCUCCUCUACUUCUCUUCUUCUAUCGAUCCGUCUUCAAUCCAACAGUUCCAGCAUUUUCAUUUUUCUAAUGGGUAUUAUUGUGAUAUACUUUUUCUUAAAUGGGUAUUGUCAUUCGUGAUAUUUUUUUAUUAAAUGGAUAUUGUGUAUUUGCCAUGGAUUCUUCUAAAUGUUGCCUAAUUGUCUUUAACCAGA